rnacentral:rRNA from 1 species
AUCUUCGGCAAUGGGCGCAAGCCUGACCGAGCGACGCCGCGUGCGGGAUGAAGGCCUUCGGGUUGUAAACCGCUGUCGUAGAGGAGGAAAUGCAGGGGGGUUCUCCCCUCUGUUUGACCUAUUCUAGGAGGAAGUACGGGCUAAGUUCGUGCCAGCAGCCGCGGUAAGACGAACCGUACGAACGUUAUUCGGAAUUACUGGGCUUAAAGGGUGCGUAGGCGGCGCGGAAAGUUGGGUGUGAAAGCCCUCAGCUCAACUGAGGAAUUGCACUCAAAACUACCGUGCUCGAGGGAGACAGAGGUGAGCGGAACUCAAGGUGGAGCGGUGAAAUGCGUUGAUAUCUUGAGGAACACCGGUGGCGAAAGCGGCUCACUGGGUCUUUUCUGACGCUGAGGCACGAAAGCCAAGGUAGCAAACGGGAUUAGAUACCCCGGUAGUCUUGGCUGUAAACGAUGAGCACUUGAUUGAAGGGUCCUCCAUAGCCUUUCAGUCGUAGCGAAAGUGUUAAGUGCUCCGCCUGGGGAGUAUGGUCGCAAGGCUGAAACUCAAAGAAA